ensembl:ncRNA C32E12.8 ncRNA
CUAUUCACACGAACAUGUUCCUCAUCUCCAGUCCCGACGUCAAAGAUUCUCGCGUAAAUUUGUGCGUUCUUCGAAUCGACUAGGAAGAGAGAUGCUCGAUCAGCGUCCACCAGUUUUUGUGCAAAAUUCUG